ACCUACAGAGUAAUCUGAUGAAAGUAUUUUCUCAAUGGAAGUUAUUAGAUGGCCCUACCUUAUGUCAAGUUGACCGAAAAUUAACACAGCUUUAUACCAGACGAUCAAAGAAUUCCUCCUUCAGAAGGGUGAGCACAGAUGUCUAUUGUAACCAUCUCCUGCCUGUUGACUCUGGAAGUCUGCCUCCAGCCCAGAUGUCUAUACUGAGCUAGAGCAUCUAGUCUCCAACUAGAACAAAAGCUCUGCUCUCUUGUAUACGUUGCUGUGCGUGCAAGCCAGACAUUUGGGAGAACACUGUAGAUGUUCAUUGAAUCUUAUGGAGGCCUUUUUCUGAAUUGAGAUUGACUCUCGCUUUGCCAUGGAUAAAACUAGCCAGCACAGCUACGAGUUCAUUCUACAUUUAUGGAAACUCUUAAAAAAAAAAAAAAGAAGAAGAAAGAAAGAAAGAACAGAAUGUCUUAGCUACACAUUUCAAUCGCAGCUCCCUGAUUUGUGCAGAUGACUGGAUGGUGAAUGGCAGGCAAACAUUGGUACUGCCCAACUCUUUGUCCACAGUUUCAAUCGCAGCUGCCUGAUUUGUGCAGAUGACUGGAUGGUGAAUGGCAGGCAAACAUUGGUACUGCCCAACUCUGACUCAGUUUCCCUCAUUUCCUCUACUGUCGCUGGUGGUGACUUCACAAGGCAGUCUCUCCUGGGAGACUGCCACUCAUUUCCUAGGAUUUCUUGACUCAUGCUGAGGUCUUCCAACUGAGCAGGUGGAGGUGAAUCUCAGUACCUGUCUGGAGUAGAAAAAAAGAGAAGGCCUGCUGUUUAAGACUUGAAGUGAGAGGCUGCAAAAUAUGUCAAAAAUGUUGCUGGCUGUUGUGGGGUGGUGGUGGCUGAGGGCAGCAAAUUGCAGACUGAUCUUGGAGGCAAAGCAAGGUAGGAGCUGUAAGGUACAUGUUUGUGUGUGUGUAGACACCAGGGAUUAAAACCAUGCAUGCAUGCCAAGCCAUCUCUAGGUCCCUCUCCCCUUUAAUCUAAAUUCCUGUCCUGCUAGCCUAUACCUAUUCCCAUCCCUGAGGUUUGGGAGUGAGCUGUGUGGGCUAUAUUGGGUCACAGAUUUCGCAGGUCCCCGGAAUCUGAAUGUUCUGUUACACAGCAUAGGGGACUUGAGUAGCAGAUGGAAUUAAGUUUUCUAAUCAGUUGACUUGAACAUAGGAAGGUUAUUUAAGAUCAUCCGGGGUUCAGGCAAUUACCAAGAUGCCACCUAUGGAGGAGGAAUAGGAGAGAAGAAGGUAAAGUGAGAAGAGGCCCAUUGCCAAGGAACUCAGGUGCCUCAGGAAAUGACAGAAGGUCUUAGAAAAGUUACACCAUCUGUAUUCCACAACACCAUUCCUUGCUCAAGCCAAGAACUGCUUUGGGAUGUAAAGGAACAUCCGGGAAGAACUGCCUGGCACACAGCUCCCACCUCCCCCAUGAAAACCCUGCAGAGCACAAAAGAGCCUUUUAAGAGGCUGGAGAUGAGAGUCAGCCCCCAGCCUCCUUCGGCAAACAAGCUUCAGAGAUGAAAGGACAGCUUCUACAUCCUGUCUCUGCCAUAGCCACUGAACAAUCAGGAGCUGGUGCUCCAUUAAGGGAAAUCCAGAGUGAGACCAAUGGUGAGAUGAGCCAAUACAAACUCUGAUCAGCAGGAGCUGGAGCAAAGAAAAGAGUCACGCAUGUGACCUUCCUGAGUCUUUCUCAUAAUGAUUGGGAAACAUUUACAAAACACCAACUUGCAAGAUGGCUCAGCCAGGGUUGCUGUCUGAGAGAAGCUUCUGAUGAAAGAAAGAGACAAGAACCUGAUGAGCUACUGGAGCAAGAAGAGAUGACUUCCCAUUGGGUAGCAAAGUAAAUACGCAGAAUCUGCCCAAGAGAUUCGGCAACAGCAAGGGAUUUGUACGAAAUAAUCCACUGUGAUUGGCAGCUGUCAGUAGUUUAAUAGGAAUUACACAAGUGGGUUCAUACUGGGGUUGAAAUAUAUAAAGAUCCUGGCUGGGGACACUGCUCAGUGGUGCCUCUCUAGCAGGCAUGAAGCCUAAUCUGCCACAGACACACACACACAUACACACACACACACACUUCUGUGCCUUUCAGCUUUCUGAGCUGAAACUGUUUUUGCAUUCCCUACCAGGCACUGUGACUUCCUUCUGACCACUUACUAUGAAAAUAGAGUUCUUAAUUAGAAUUUGCUAACCUAAGUCUCUAGCAGACAUGCCCUGGCUACAGUAGGCCUUGGACUAUUUGCUGAACUAAUUUCAUUAGUUCAUAGUGUUCAUUCUACAGUAGCACAUACAUCAUCAGAGAGCUGUAACAAUUGUAAGAAGAGACAGGUGCUGAUGCUAGAAGACGGGGCUGGAGAGAUGGCUCAGUGGUUAGGAGCACUGACUGCUCUUCCAGAGGUCCUGAGUUCAAUUC